rnacentral:rRNA from 1 species
UACGAAGGGGGCUAGCGUUGCUCGGAAUCACUAGGCGUAAAGGGUGCGUAGGCGGGUCUUUAAGUCAGGGGUGAAAUCCUGGAGCUCAACUCCAGAACUGCCUUUGAUACUGAGGAUCUUGAGUUCGGGAGAGGUGAGUGGAACUGCGAGUGUAGAGGUGAAAAUUCGUAGAUAUUCGCAAGAACACCAGUGGCGAAGGCGGCUCACUGGCCCGAUACUGACGCUGAGGCACGAAAGCGUGGGGAGCAAACAGG